UACAGAGGUCUCAAGCGUUGUUCGGAAUCCCUGGGCGUAAAGGGUGCGUAGGCCGCACGGUAAGUCAGGUGUGAAAGCCCGGAGCUCAACUUCGGAAUUGCACCCGAUACUGCCGUGCUUGAGGACUGGAGAGGAGUCUGGAAUUCACAGUGGAGCAGUGAAAUGCGUAGAUAUUGUGAGGAACACUAGUGGCGAAGGCGAGACUCUGGACAGUUCCUGACGCUGAGGCACGAAGGCCAGGGGAGCAAACGGG
rnacentral:rRNA from 1 species